UACGUAGGGUGCAAGCGUUUAAUCGGAAUUACUGGGCGUAAAGCGUGCGCAGGCGGUUUUGUAAGUUUGUCGUGAAAUCCCCGGGCUCAACCUGGGAAUGGCGAUGAGGACUGCAAGGCUAGAAUCUGGCAGAGGGGGGUAGAAUUCCACGUGUAGCAGUGAAAUGCGUAGAGAUGUGGAGGAACACCGAUGGCGAAGGCAGCCCCCUGGGUCAAGAUUGACGCUCAUGCACGAAAGGCGUGGGGAGCAAACAGGAUUACGAAACC
rnacentral:rRNA from 1 species